GGCUUUGUUAGGACAGGAAGCAGAGAGACCCUGUGGGUCCUCCUCCCUUACUCUUGUAGAAGGAGGCUGAGGGGCAGAGAUAGCUGAAAUCUCAUGGAAAAAAUCUUUUAGAAAUAGUGUAUGAAAGAGGGCAAACACAGAAUGGUUCUGGAAACUGUAGAAUCCUUAGCUCAGGCUGAGAAAUAGUAGAAAGUAGGAUUUUGAUGCCAAGUUAAAAUAGAGGGUAAGUUGAAAGAAUUGGCAAUCUAUCAAGAGUCUGUGAAGAUGAAAGCCAAGAUGAGCAGCUAGAGGAACAGUAGAAACCUCCAAGAAUAAAGAGUGAAGAAGGUUGGAGCUGGAACAUUAAAGAUCAUGUAUUCCAUCCCCACUCCCAGUUUUGCAACUAAAGGAAAUGAUGGCCAGGAGAGAAGUGUCACCGGAAAGAAGAGUACAGGUUUAGGAGCAAGGUGUUAAGAAGAUGGAAAGAUCUGCAUAGAGAAGAUAUCUAAAUCCUAGGAACUAUAGGCUCUAUGAAGAUGCAGUCACUCGUCUCAGUUACUAUUGGCCCAAAGGAAGCUACUGAAGGGAAAUCCUUGGUCUUCUAGGAAUCAGUGCUAUUGCUUUACUUAAAUAUUCAAAUAGAUCUGUGACCUCAUCAAUUGGAAAAUUCCCCUCCAAAAUACAGAUGAUAACACCCAUGCUUGGCUAUCCUGUGCAGCUUUUGUCUGUAUUCUCCCAAGAGUUCAUCAUUUGGGGUCCAUCCAAUAUGCUCCAGACCAUUCAUGUUUUCCUCUGACAUUGUGAAGGUAACAGCAGAGCACUGUGGCUGUCCAACACCUGUCAUCUCUCAUUAUUGCCAUGGUGAUGAUGGAUCCAAGUGAAUUAAUUGAUUUCACAGAAUUACGGAAUUCCAGCAUCUAAGAAUUAGAAAGAAUAUCUGAAGCCAUCUAACUCAAUCUGUGUUUGACCAAGGAUCCCAGGGACAACAAAUGACCAUCUUUUUGAAAAUUUCUAAUGGAUAGAAAUUUAUUACAUUUGGACUACUGUGCCUCCAUAGAACAUGACAUGAGAAACCAUAUCUGCUCAGCUGGCACUUCUUCCCUGGAAUUCAGCUGUCUUUAUGGCAGGGGACAUGGAUUUUUAUAUUGAUCCCUAUGGACUACAAAGACUCUUGACUAAUCCUACAUGUGACAAGGAGUACAUGAUAGUAAGAAUGUAAGUUUUUUGAGAGCUGACUGUUUUACUGUUGUAUUUGCAUCUCCAGUGCCUAGAACAUUGCCUAAGACAUAGUUGGUGUUUAUUUUUUGAUUGGGCUUGCAGAGGCUAGUUGUGUAGUCUGUAGCUUUGGAGCAAAAGGAUGCCGACUGGCCCAGCCAAAGAUUUAACUUGACCUUGGUCUAUGAGACAACUAACCAAUUUGGAAGGCAUUGGAUGAGGUGAUCACUGAGGUCUCUUCUAUCUUUACAAUUUUCACAUAGUUUUAUAGUGGAUUUUAAGUUCCCUAGAACACAUCCCUCUUGCCUGGGUUAAGUUCAAAUCUCCAAUCUAUGUAUCAUUUCUGUAUUCACAUCUCUCAUUUCUACAUCCUUCUCUCUACUCUCUUGGUGUAGGCCACCAUCACUUGAUAAUUGGCUUAAUGCAAUAGGUCUCUCUGCCUCAAAUCUCUCUUCAUUCCAAUCCAUCUUCAAUUCAACUGACAGUGUAAUUUUCACCUUGCUACCCUAAAAACCAUCAAAGUUCCUUAUUACCUCCAGGAUCAUAUCUGUUGGUGACCUUUGAAAGUCCUUGAUGUCUUAUCCCUUUCCUAUGUUUUCAAUAUUCUUAUGUUUCUAUGUACUCUGUGAUCCAAAGAACUAACCUCUUUGCUGUUACUCACAUAGAACACUAUCUUCUUGGUGCCUUUUCACUGGCUAGCCCAUGUAGCCAGAAUGCUUUCCCUCUUUUUGGUAGUUUUCCUAAUCUUCAAAACCCAGCUCAAAUCCUACUUUUUCUGGCCUCUCUGUCCUCAAUCUAGUUAAAGUUACCCUUGCCUGUACUCUCCACCAUAAUGGUGCCAUUUCUUUGAGAUUAUCUUCAAUUUACUCUGUAAACUUAAAGUGAGAGCUCUGCAAAGGUAAGAAAUAUUAUUGUCUUUCUUUAGAACUCUGAUAUGAAUAAAGUAUGUCAUCAACUUUCUUAAGCCCUUUUUUGGGGGACCCAUUCCUUAGGACAAAGUGGCAUGCAUAGUUCUCUCACCAAUGUAUUUUACAAUAUAAGAAUUGACAUUAUAUAGUUUUAGAAACAUCUUAUCUCAUCCUCACAGUAACUCUGGGAAGUAGAUGUUAUCUACAUUUUACAGAUAAGGAUACAGAGAAGUUAAAUGACUUUUUCCAAGUCAUAAUAUUAGCCCGUAUCGGUAGAUAUGAUUUAAAUCAAAGUCUUCUGAAUCCAAGUCCUACAUGCUAUUGAUUUCAUUAUACUGCCUUUCCCAUUGAGCCAUUUUCUCAGAUUUCUCAUUCACACUGAGGUGUAAAUGAUUAAUAACAGCCUCAAAGCAUGAUUUACUGCAUUGAAAUGGAGAAAAAAGCCUUAAUGUUUGGCAGGAAAAGUCUAGGCAUUAAAAGAGGGAAAAUAUUUUUGGGAUGCCAAGAUAUUUCCAUUUUCACUAUAAUCAAAUGUGGGGGGAGGAUAAGGUGAGCCCUGCCUUUAUCUACUUGGUAACUAGUUAUUAUUAGCUAAUAAACAUUAUAAGUUGAGGCUCUCUCUCUCUGUCUCUCUCUCUGUCUCUGUCUCUCUCUCUCUGUCUCUGUCUCUGUCUCUCUCUCUCUCUCUCUCUCUCUCUGUGUGUGUGUGUGUGUGUGUGUGUAGGAGUGAUGCUAAGAGAUGAUUCAGACAGUCCAAACACAAAGAGGACAAAGCAUUGGCUCUCUGGAAACAUCCUGUCCAAACCAAUUUCAGCUCCAUCGCCUACACAAGGCAAAUAUGCAACUCUGAGUGUUUUUUUUUUUUAAUCUUUGUUUUAAGCUCCAAAUAGCAAUCAUAGCCUCGGUGCAGGGAA